UCUAAAAAUAUCUAAACCCUAACCUUCCUCCCCGCCUUCAUCAAAUUUUUCCCCAUACCCUUCCCCGCACCACAAUCUUCUCUGCUUGGCUUCGUGUUCGUCUUCUCCUGCUUGGCUUCGUGUUCUCCUUCUCCUGCUUGGUUGAGCGUCGAGGUGGAGGCGUCGAGGCAUUUGUGGGUUGAGCGAGAUCGAGGUGCUCUAGCGCACUCCCGUACUGACCGAUCUUAGGUCGAGGUCGAGGUACCAGGAAUCUGUUGGGGUGAUUUCUAUCACUACAGUACAACACAUUUUGUCUCCAACCCCUCAAACUCAAAUCCUCCUUGGCACUAAAAGCCACUGAAAAGCUGCAGAAAAAUGUGGAUAAUCUUAUAGUGAUUCCAAAUUACCGCCUCCUUGACAUGGUUGAUGAGUAGACACCUCUCCAGGAUGCUUUCGUCUAGCAAAUGAUGUUCUUAGGCAAGGAGUGCAGGGAAUAUCAAACAUCAUAACAAUACCUAGGCUUGUAAAUGUGGAUUUUGCUGAUGUAAAAACUGUGAUGAAAGACUUUGGAACAACAAUGCUUGGUAUGGUUGUUUCCUCCAAUAAAGACUAAUGUUUUUGGAUUUGGCAUUCUCCUCUUUGAAUUCACAGGCCAGAGAGCUCUAGAGUUUGGAAAAUCAACCAACAACAAAGGAGUCAUGCUUGAUUGCAUAUUACCUUGUGGAGAGAGCUAAGGAUGUUAAUAUUGUUGGGAUUUUAGUUGCAACUCUUGGGGUUGCUGGUUAUCUUCACAUAAUCAAUCAAAUGAAGGAGCUCAUAACUGGAGCAGACAAGAAGGCCUAUACUUUGGUUAUGGGAAAGCCAAACCCAACUAAACUUGCUAACUUUCCUAGGUAUCUAUAUGAACAAAGAAGUAUACCAAAUGAUGAAGUGUACCAAAUGAUGAAGGUAGAGAAGACAAAUGAAGAACAACAAAAUUGAUGAUUGUAAUUUAGAAAAUGUUUAUUGUAAUUUUUAAGAUUGAACAUGUUAUUUUUUAAGUUGAAUAAUUAAUUGUAUUAACAUUUACUGUUUAUUUUAUAUAAUAAUAUUUAAUUUUGGUUUCAAA